rnacentral:lncRNA from 1 species
CUCUCUCUCUCCUGGUUUCAAGUCACCACCACCACCUCUUGCCAUCGCGCUGCCAGCUUCUUUCUUCCUCUCCCUCUGUUUCCGUUUUGGGUGAGUAACCGGAGCACCUACGACCCAGUUUUCGAUCGCCGCUUCUCGCAAUCCCAGCCUCCGAUCGCUGCUCAACGUUAGCCUCCUUUUGCUCUCGAUUCCGGUGAGCGCUGCACCGGCGACUCCUUCCGUUUCGGUAGACACAGUAGCUCGUCACUGACCACUGCUAUCGCUGCCAUCUUAGUUCCGGCGAGCACCACAAUUUUCUCUGGCCAAGCAAAAUUCCGGCGGUGUUGUGCUUUGGAUAUUUGGAACUAAU